UGGAAAUGUUGCUGAGGCCUCAGGUGUC
rnacentral:piRNA from 1 species